rnacentral:rRNA from 1 species
GACGAACGCUGGCGGCGUGCUUAACACAUGCAAGUCGAACGGUAAGGCUCCACCUUGCUGGGGUGCACGAGUGGCGAACGGGUGAGUAACACGUGGGUAACCUGCCCUGCACUUCGGGAUAAGCCUGGGAAACUGGGGCUAAUACCGGAUAGGACCAUGGGGUGCAUACUGUGGGGGAGAGAUUUUUCGGUGUGGGGUGGGCACGCGGCUUAUCAGCUUGUUGGUGGGGUAUUGGCUUACCAAGGCGGCGACGGGUAGCCGGCCUGAGAGGGUGGACGGCCACAUUGGGACUGAGACACGGCCCAGACUCCUACGGGAGGCAGCAGUGGGGAAUAUUGCACAAUGGGCGGAAGCCUGAUGCAGCAACGCCGCGUGGGGGAUGACGGCCUUCGGGUUGUAAACCGCUUUCGCCAGUGACGAAGGGUUAGUGACGGUAGUUGGUGAAGAAGCACCGGCUAACUACGUG